CUCAUCUAGUUCACAAAUGGAAGGAAUGUGUUUAAAUUUUCCCAGAAAAAUGGGUGUUCCCUUCAGAGAAAUUGAUUGCUCAAUCUUCCUCAGUGACAGCAAAUUCCAGAGAAUCAGGGGGAAAAAAUGAAGGCACGAUUUAUUUUCUUUCAUAUUGGGACCAAAGUACUGCUUAGAAAGCCAAGGUUUGGCAUGACGGUGGACUGUGCUGAGCUGUGGCAGUACUUGUGCCCCUGGAAUCCACGUUCAGCUCUGGAUGUGAUGACGUCAUCUAUAAUCCCAGCAUUCCUUGGGGAGUCGGGAGGCACAGACAGGAGAGGAGCCUGGCACCUUGCGGGUUAGCUAGUGCGGAGCACAAGCUGCAGCUGUAGAAAUCUCUCUGCCUCAGCAAGCUGGAAGCAGCAGAAGGAGCUUCGAUGCAGGAAUCUAUGCCACCAUCAGCUGGAAAAGAAGCUUCAACUAUUCUUACCACAUUAAACGUUAAUUAAAAUUCUAUUGAAUCA
rnacentral:lncRNA from 1 species